rnacentral:rRNA from 1 species
GGAGGGUGCAAGCGUUGCUCGGAAUUAUUGGGCGUAAAGGGUGGGUAGGUGGUCUCGUUUGUCUUAGGUGAAAUCCCCGGGCUUAACUUGGGAAGUGCCUCAGAAACGGCGAGACUUGAGUACUGGAGAGGGUUGUGGAAUUCCCGGUGUAGCGGUGAAAUGCGUAGAGAUCGGGAGGAACACCAGAAGCGAAAGCGGCAACCUGGCCAGUGACUGACACUAAACCACGAAAGCGUGGGGAGCAAACAGGAUUAGAUACCCUGGUAGUCCACGCUGUAAACGAUGGGUACUAGGUUUGGAGGGAUUUGACCCCCCCCGAGCCGUCGCUAACGCAUUAAGUACCCCGCCUGGGAAGUACGGUCGCARGRUUA